UAAUUUAUGUUAUAUUUUAUGUACGUAUUUUAGUCUUAACUAUUUCCAAAAAUAUAUUUUUGAAUUUUUUAAAUUUUAAAUGCGUCCAAAUCUCAUAAACAUAGAUGCAUGAAUAACCUCUAGAAUGAGAAAAAUAACCUCCAAAAUCUAUUUUGAAUAGAUACAACUAAUAUUACAUCACAAUCGUCUCAUUCCCACACAACCAUAUUGAUAUCCAACACAUUAUUCCGAUGAACAUUUCCACUUCCAAACUAAAUUAUCGAAUUGACCAAUGUCUCUUUUACCAUAUAUUACUUUUAAUUUUGUUUAAACAUGAUAUACCAAUGAAAAGAAGAAAUGAAUCAACAAACUUUAAUUUGUAAUACAUACACGUAUAUUGUUCUGUUGUAAGCUGUUCCCUUUCUCUUACAACACUU
rnacentral:lncRNA from 1 species